CAAACCUGUCCCGGUGCUUUCUUGAAUCAUAUACGGUAGAUUAGCUGCCACCGUUAUUGGAGGCCAGCUAGGCAGAGAGAAAGGUAGUUAAGGGAGGUCUUUUCUAAACCAUGCAUUUAAACAAGUGGGAUUGUCGGGUCUAAGAGUAUUCAAGGCGACGGCUAAAAACAACUGAAAAAAGGCUGUCACACAGAUUGUUUACCAAACACACAAUAAGUGCGACGAGAAGGUGACUGUAUCAGGACAGUGACAUCAAUUUACUGUAAGAUGACGUGGUUACAGCAAGUGCUUAUGAUUAUGGCUCUCUGGUUUGUGGGGUGCACUUUUGCAGCCACGCAGAAGAACAAUCAGACAAUCUCAGAAUUCCUGGACAAAUUGAUGCAAGGUUACGACAGGCUAAGGCCGCCAUUAAAAAAUGCGUCUACAAGAGUUGAACUUGGCGUUUACGUCAACAGCUUUUAUUCCAUUAGUGAACAGACAAUGG